UCCCUGAUCAAGAAUGAGAAUGUGGAGAGCGAAGAUGAUCAGAUCCCAUCGUAGUCUGCGGCAGUAAAUUAUGUCAGCUCGGUGUGGACGGGCCAUCAUCUCCUCAACAGGAUGCCAUCGGUUUCGCUCCUCUGCAGCGAGAAAUCAAAGCUUACGCAUUCAGACGGGGGAAGGGAUACGGUCUCAAGGCUGGAGCUUAGAUGAAAGAGGGCACCACCAGCGUGGAGUAUGCGCCUUACUUUGACUCAACAUGGGGAAUGUGACCAGGUCAGGCCGCAGUCAGGAUUGGCAGAUUGAGGGUUCUUUCUUGAUCCUCUGGACGUGGUGGAUG
rnacentral:rRNA from 16 species